GUUAAAGUCAGAAUUCUGACUUUAAUCUCAGAAUUCUGAGUUUGUGUUUAAGGUCAGAAUUCUGAGGUUAAAGUCAGAAUUCUGACUUUAAUGUCAGAAUUCUUUUUUUUUUCGGGGCCCUAAUCCUCUUCCGUACAUUUCCUUCCUAUUGACAGCUAUAUGCUAUGAAUGGAGAGUUGUGUGCAUCAAAAAAAUCUAAAUGUGUGUUAAAGUUUGUGCACGCUAAAAUGUUCAAGGUGUGUGAAUACUUGCAAGGCUUUGUAUAUUUAAUACCUCUUUUUUAAGGACUUUUAAUAGUUUGAUUAAGAUACAAAAGUAUGCCUUCUGCUUCUCACUCAUAGUUUCAUUUGAUUUUUGAAAUUAGUCUUUCUGAAUUUGCGUAAAUUCAAAGUUGGUACAUUAGCUUGUGUGGACCUUACACCGCCAUGAUGUGAUGCUGUUAAAGGUUUGCAUGAUCAAGUCCUGCCUCACAGGCGUACAGAUAAUUAUCUUAAUCAGGCAUAUGCAAUAAACUAUGAAACUCAUGGA